UACCUCUCAGGAACACGCCUGCGUAAGUAUUGCUCAAAUAUCCAUUUAUAUUUCAGCAGAUUUAAUGUAUAAACAAUCUCUUUUUAUUACUGUAUCAAUGU